UACGUAGGGUGCGAGCGUUGUCCGGAAUUAUUGGGCGUAAAGAGCUCGUAGGCGGUCUGUCACGUCGGCUGUGAAAUCCCGAGGCUCAACCUCGGGUCUGCAGUCGAUACGGGCAAACUAGAGUAUUGCAGGGGAGACUGGAAUUCCUGGUGUAGCGGUGAAAUGCGUAGAUAUCUGGAGGAACACCGGUGGCGAAGGCGGCCACCUGGACGGAUACUGACGCUGAGGAGCGAAAGCGUGGGGAGCGAACAGG
rnacentral:rRNA from 1 species